CUGAAUCUAGUUUAAAUAAAAGUUGAAGCACACAUUGUAAAUAUGCAACAGGGAAUCACAUAAAUAUCCAAACAUAAUUUUUUGACUUUUUAAAAAUUUACUGAGAUAUUCCUAGUACCUGAAACAAAGCCUGGCAUAUAGUAGGCACUCACUAAACAUUUGUUGAAUGAAUGAGUGAUAGAUCUAUCACUCCAAACCUGUCCUUCUGAUAAUUAUUUCCUAAGCAAAUAUCUGGGGCUUUGCGAUACAUCCUUUAUUCACAGCAAUUGUCUGUACUCUUCAGAAUGGCUGUUAUCAAAGCUCUACUUGUAGACCAAAAGAAGGGGCAUUUGGUUGACCUUUUUGUUAAGAAUGAAAGUCCCAAGGGCUUAUUAAAGGUUUAUAUGAUUUUCAGCUCCUCUUUGUGUGUUUUGGGGAUUUGGCUCAAGAUACAUCGUUAAAAACAACAACAACAACAACUUUUUUUUUAGAGACAGAGUCUAGCUGUGUAGCCCAGGCUAGAGUACAGUGGCAUGAUCAUAGCUCACUGUAACCUUGAACUCCUGGGCUCAAGCCAUCCUAUUGCCUCAGCCUCCCAAGUAGCUAGGGCUACAGGUGCACACCACCAUACCUGGCUAAUUUUAAAAUUUUUUGUAGAGACAGGGUCCUACUAUGUUGCCCAGGCUGGUCAUGAAUGCCUGGCCUUAAAGUGAUCCUCCCUCCUUGGCCUCCCAAAGUGCUGAAAUUACAGGAGUGAGCCACCAUACUCAGCUCCUCAGCUCUCAGGAUACAUUUUUUUUUUUUUUUUUUAAGACAGGGUAUUUCUCUGUUGCCCAGGCUGGAGUGCAAUGGCACAAUCACUUCAGCCUGGACCUCCUGGGCCCAAGUGAUCCUCCUACCUCAGCCUCCCAAGUAGCUGGGACUACAGGCAAGUACCCCCAUGCCCAGAUAAUUUUAUUUUUUUUGUAGAGACAAGGUCUUACUUUGUUGCCCAGGUUGGUCUCAAACUCCUGGACUCAAGCUAUCCUCCUGCCUGGGCCUCCCAAAGUGCUGGGAUUAUAGGCAUGAGCUACCAUGCCCGGCCUCAAGAUACAUCUUGAGCAUUAAUCAGAAGCUGAAAAACUGAUCAAUAAAGAUAUUUUGUAGGAAGACUAGGUCAGCGAACAUAGUACUACUUCUUUAAAGGUCAUUGGAAGCCAGGCAAAGUGGCUCACACCUGUAAUCCCGACACUUUUUUUUCUCCUGCUAAUGCAGGAGAAUUGCUUAGGGCCAGGAGUUACCAGCCUGAGCAACAUAGCAAGACCCUGUCUCAAAAAAAAAAAAAAAAAAAAAAAAAAAAAUGAAGGGAGGGAGAGAGAGAGGGAGGAAGAAAGGAAGGAAAGAAAAUUAGCCAGGUGUAGUUGUAUGCACCUGUAGUCCCAGCUACUCGAGAGGCUGAGGUGACAGGAUCACAUGAGCCCAGUGUCAGGCCUCUGAGCUCAAGCUAAGCCAUCAUAUCCCCAGUGACCUGCACGUAUACAUCCAGAUGGCCUGAAGCAACUGAAGAUUCACAAAAGAAGUGAAAAUAGCCUUAACUGACGAAGUUCCACCAUUGAUUUAUUUCUGCCCCAACCUAACUGAUCAAUGUACUUUGUAAUCUCCCCCACCCUUAAGAAGGUUCUUUGUAAUUCUCCCCACCCUUGAGAAUGUACUUUGUGAGAUCCACCCCCUGCCCCCAAAACAUUGCUCUUAACUCCACUGCCUAUCCCAAAACCUCUAAGAACUAAUAAUGAUAAUCCACCACCCGUUGCUGACUCUCUUUUUGGACUCAGCCCGUCUGCACCCAGGUGAAAUAAACAGCCAUGUUGCUCACACAAAGCCUGUUUGGUAGUCUCUUCACACGGACACGUAAGACAUUUGGUGCCGAAGACCCGGGUCAGCGGACUCCUUUGGGAGACCAGUCCGCUGUCCUCACCCUCACUCUGUGAAGAGAUCCACCUAUGACCUCGGGUCCUCAGACCAACCAGCCCAAGGAACAUCUCACCGAUUUUAAAUCGGGAGCCCACUGGAAAUCAGACUAUCCAACUUGCCUGGCAGCCACUCCCAGAGCCCCUGGAACUCUGGUCCAAGGCUCUGACUGACUCCUUCCCAGAUCUCGGCUUAGCGGCUGAAGACUGACACUGCCCAAUCUUCUCGGAAGCCUCCUGGACCAUCACACUUACAGUGGAGGAAGACAGGAAGGUCAGGCCUCUGAGCCCAAGCUAAGCCAUCAUAUCCCCAGUGACCUGCACGUAUACAUCCAGAUGGCCUGAAGCAACUGAAGAUCCACAAAAGAAGUGAAAAUAGCCUUAACUGACGAAGUUCCACCAUUGAUUUAUUUCUGCCCCAACCUAACUGAUCAAUGUACUUUGUAAUCUCCCCCACCCUUAAGAAGGUUCUUUGUAAUUCUCCCCACCCUUGAGAAUGUACUUUGUGAGAUCCACCCCCUGCCCCUAAAACAUUGCUCUUAACUCCACUGCCUAUCCCAAAAUCUUUAAGAACUAAUUAAUGAUAAUCCACCACCCGUUGCUGACUCUCUUUUCGGACUCAGCCCGCCUGCACCCAGGUGAAAUAAACAGCCAUGUUGCUCACACAAAGCCUGUUUGGUGUUCUCUUCACACGGACACAUGAGACACCCAGGAGUUCAAGUUUGCAAUGAACUA
rnacentral:lncRNA from 1 species